AUGUGCCAGGAGAUCGCCGGAGCACUGCGAGCGCGGCGAAGACAUUUAUCGGGCGAGUGCUACGGGGUUCUACACGCCAUGGAAAGAAAAGGAGUGGGAGAUGUGUUAUCCAGCUCACCCCAGGACACGGAGAGGUUGACGGAUACGAGCCGGAGGCGACCGGAGCGAGCUCUGAACUUGGCGAAGAUGCUGUCCGGGAAGAAGAGGAAGAAGACAGCGUCGUGGAGGUCGAACCCGAGGUCGUGUGGUCGCGUGCGUGGAGGAAGGGGACGGAGUGGUACUUGGCGUUCCUCUCCAGAGUGGCUGAGGGGUCGGAGGCGCAGCGACGAGCUACUCUGA
rnacentral:rRNA from 1 species